rnacentral:rRNA from 1 species
CUGGACCGUGUAUAAGUCUCUUGGAACAGAGCGUCAUAGAGGGUGAGAAUCCCGUCUUUGACACGGACUACCAGUGCUUUGUGAUGCGCUCUCAAAGAGUCGAGUUGUUUGGGAAUGCAGCUCAAAAUGGGUGGUGAAUUCCAUCUAAAGCUAAAUAUUGGCGAGAGACCGAUAGCGAACAAGUACCGUGAGGGAAAGAUGAAAAGCACUUUGGAAAGAGAGUUAACAGUACGUGAAAUUGCUGAAAGGGAAACGCUUGAAGUCAGUCGCGUUGUCCGGAACUCAGCCUUGCUUUUGCUUGGUGCACUUUCCGGAUGACGGGUCAGCAUCGAUUUUGACCGUCGGAAAAGGGCUGGAGUAAUGUGGCACCUUCGGGUGUGUUAUAGACUCUGGUCGCAUACGGCGGUUGGGAUCGAGGAACGCAGCGCGCCGCAAGGCAGGGGUUCGCCCACUUUCGCGCUUAGGAUGCUGGCAUAAUGGCUUUAAACGACCCGUCUUGAAACACGGACCAAGGAGUCUAACAUACCUGCGAGUGUUUGGGUGGAAAACCCGAGCGCGCAAUGAAAGUGAAAGUUGAGAUCCCUGUCGUGGGGAGCAUCGACGCCCGGACCAGACGUUCUCUGACGGAUCCGCGGUAGAGCAUGUAUGUUGGGACCCGAAAGAUGGUGAACUAUGCCUGAAUAGGGUGAAGCCAGAGGAAACUCUGGUGGAGGCUCGUAGCGAUUCUGACGUGCAAAUCGAUCGUCAAAUUUGGGUAUAGGGG